rnacentral:rRNA from 1 species
GAAAUAACGUCCCAGUUCGGAUUGUAGUCUGCAACCCGACUACAUGAAGCUGGAAUCGCUAGUAAUCGCGAAUCAGAAUGUCGCGGUGAAUACGUUCCCGGGUCUUGUACACACCGCCCGUCACACCAUGGGAGUCGGAAAUGCCCGAAGUCAGUGACCCAACCGUAAGGAGGGAGCUGCCGAAGGUGGAGCCGGUAACUGGGGUGAAGUCGUAACAAGGUAUC